AGAUUUUGACAUUGUUGAGCAGAGCUGAGACGCCAUCACAGGGUGUGAGAUCUCUGCUGGAAAACACACGUUUGGAUUAUUUGAAGCAAUCAAGAGACGGGACAGUAACUCGGUUUUGUCCAAAGCGGUUGGACGUGCCACUACUCCAUCCUGUUCCGGAUGCUGAUGCAGGUGAUCAUGUGGAUGUUUUUUGUGCCGUGUGAGAUUGGAGCUCAGACUGUCGUCUACUGUGCUGUGUCAGAUGAAGCUGCCAAACACAGCGGAGGUUACUUCGUCGACUGCCGACCAGCUACUCUGCGUCCUUUCGCAAGAGACGCUGGUGUGGCAAAGAAACUGUGGGAGGCCAGUGAGAGACUGGUGAAACUGGCCUGAUGGUGGAGCUGAUUCUUAGACAGUUAUUUAUGGUUAUGUACGUUUUUUUAUUGUUUAUGUUUUUCAUUCAUAUUUUUGCUGCGUACCAUGCAUGAGUAUAUUUUUAUUUAAUAAAAAUAUGAUUCAAUGAUUUAACACUUUGGUUGAAUAACACAUGAUUUGAAAUGGUGGUUAUUUCUUAAAACAUGUUAAACAUAAAAUAUUAAAUUUGUGUUUUAACUAGGUG